CCUUAUAAAGAGUGACGGAGGGACAGGCCCUGUGAAGUCCGGCAACCUGCACGCAGUGCAAGGUGCCAAAUCCCACAGCGUUUAGCUGAAAGAUAAGG
rnacentral:ncRNA from 1 species